UACGUAGGGCGCAAGCGUUAUCCGGAAUUAUUGGGCGUAAAGAGCUCGUAGGCGGUUUGUCGCGUCUGCCGUGAAAGUCCGGGGCUCAACUCCGGAUCUGCGGUGGGUACGGGCAGACUAGAGUGUGGUAGGGGAGACUGGAAUUCCUGGUGUAGCGGUGGAAUGCGCAGAUAUCAGGAGGAACACCGAUGGCGAAGGCAGGUCUCUGGGCCAUUACUGACACUGAGAAGCGAAAGCAUGGGGAGCGAACAGG
rnacentral:rRNA from 1 species